rnacentral:rRNA from 1 species
UGAGGAAUUUUCUGCAAUGGGCGAAAGCCUGACAGAGCAAUACCGCGUGAGGGAUGAAGACUUACUGAGUUGUAAACCUCGGUGCCUUAAGGAAGAAGAUAUGACGGUACUUAAGGUGGAAAGCAUCGGCUAACUCCGUGCCAGCAGCCGCGGUAAGACGGGGGAUGCAAGUGUUAUCCGGAAUUACUGGGCGUAAAGCGUCUGCAGGUGGUUUCCUAAGUCUACUGUUAAACCUUGAGGCUCAACCUCAAAUCUGCAGUGGAAACUAGGAGACUUGAGUAUAGUAGGGGUAGAGGGAAUUUCCAGUGGAGCGGUGAAAUGCGUAGAUAUUGGAAAGAACACCGAUGGCGAAGGCACUCUACUGGGCUAUUACUGACACUCAGAGACGAAAGCUAGGGGAGCAAAUGGG